CGACUAGUGGAACUUCAUUAGUAAAUCCUUAGAGAGCUGAAACUUGCGAAUGAUUGACCGUUUAUCCACGCUCUGCACAUCACUCAAAGCCAGAGAAGUCGAUGGGAAAGUGGAUGACUAAAGACGGGGAAGCGAGUGCUUCAAAAUCCUCUUCUACAAAGAAGGGGAAGAAAGCUGCGAAAGAAGUUUAGUGAGCUGUUUAUAUGGGAAACCAAUUCCGCUAGAAGAAGCGCGAGAACGGUGACCAGAGAGAUACGACAAUAAGAAAACAGGGAAGAAGAACGGUCGGUGUGGAAGCUCUAGAAAUUAUUCAGAGAUGACAGUGCUGAGGAGAUACUACUUGCCCGCUGCCAUUACACACAAGCAGAGGUCGACGGCUACAUUUGGUUAUUCAGAGACGAUAGAGAUACGACGAAUAUUGGCUGCAGAAGUGACCAAUAACUCUCCCCUUCGGAAACCCCAAGCAGCUUCAGAGGGUCCAGGUGACCAGUAUCUCAGUAAUCACUCCUUAUUUUCGAUGCCUUGCUGUCCUUUCUAUGUUAAUGGCCGCCUGAAUCUCGCUAAGUCUCAUCUCUAACAAAGUGGGAUUGCUGAUUUCAAUCUAACGAAGUGGAUGGCCACCGGCGACGCCGCGAUGGUGGUGUUUGG